rnacentral:rRNA from 1 species
AGUGAACGCUGGCGGUAGGCCUAACACAUGCAAGUCGAACGGCAGCACAGGAGAGCUUGCUCUCUGGGUGGCGAGUGGCGGACGGGUGAGGAAUACAUCGGAAUCUACUUGUUCGUGGGGGAUAACGUAGGGAAACUUACGCUAAUACCGCAUACGACCUACGGGUGAACGCAGGGGACCUUCAGGCCUUGCGCGAUUGCAUGAGCCGAUGUCGGAGUAGCUAGUUGGCGGGGUAAGGCGCACCAAGGCGACGACCCGUAGCGGGUCUGAGAGGAUGAUCAGCCACACUGGAACUGAGAAACGGUGCAGACUCCUACGGGAGGCAGCAGUGGGGAAUAUUGGACAAUGGGCGCAAGCCUGAUCCAGCCAUACCGCGUGGGUGAAGAAGGCCUUCGGGUUGUAAAGCCCUUUUGUCGGGAAAGAAAUCCAGCUGGCUAAUACCCGGUUGGGAUGACGGUACCCAAAGAAUAAGCACCGGCUAACUUCGUGCCAGCCGCCGCCGUAA